rnacentral:rRNA from 1 species
UAGGGAAUCUUCCGCAAUGGACGCAAGUCUGACGGAGCAACGCCGCGUGAGUGAAGAAGGAUCUCGGUUCGUAAAACUCUGUUGUUAGAGAAGAACAGCGCAUAGAGUAACUGUUAUGCGUGUGACGGUAUCUAACCAGAAAGCCACGGCUAACUACGUGCCAGCAGCCGCGGUAAUACGUAGGUGGCAAGCGUUGUCCGGAUUUAUUGGGCGUAAAGCGAGCGCAGGCGGUCAAUUAAGUCUGAUGUGAAAGCCCCCGGCUCAACCGGGGAGGGUCAUUGGAAACUGGUUGACUUGAGUGCAGAAGAGGAGAGUGGAAUUCCAUGUGUAGCGGUGAAAUGCGUAGAUAUAUGGAGGAACACCAGUGGCGAAGGCGACUCUCUGGUCUGUAACUGACGCUGAGGCUCGAAAGCGUGGGUAGCAAACAGG